rnacentral:rRNA from 1 species
AGUGAACGCUGGCGGUAGGCCUAACACAUGCAAGUCGAACGGCAGCACAGUAAGGGCUUGCUCUUACGGGUGGCGAGUGGCGGACGGGUGAGGAAUACAUCGGAAUCUACUUUUUCGUGGGGGAUAACGUAGGGAAACUUACGCUAAUACCGCAUACGACCUACGGGUGAAAGCAGGGGAUCUUCGCACCUUGCGCGAUUGAAUGAGCCGAUGUCGGAUUAGCUAGUUGGCGGGGUAAAGGCCCACCAAGGCGACGAUCCGUAGCUGGUCUGAGAGGAUGAUCAGCCACACUGGAACUGAGACACGGUCCAGACUCCUACGGGAGGCAGCAGUGGGGAAUAUUGGACAAUGGGCGCAAGCCUGAUCCAGCCAUACCGCGUGGGUGAAGAAGGCCUUCGGGUUGUAAAGCCCUUUUGUUGGGAAAGAAAAGCAGCAGGUUAAUACCCCGCUGUUCUGACGGUACCCAAAGAAUAAGCACCGGCUAACUUCGUG